rnacentral:rRNA from 1 species
UACAGAGACUGCAAGCGUUGUUCGGAUUCAUUGGGCGUAAAGGGUGCGCAGGCGGUCGGGCAAGUCGGAUGUGAAAUCCCGCAGCUUAACUGCGGACGGUCAUUCGAAACUGCCCGGCUCGAGGACUGGAGAGGAGACUGGAAUUGUCGGUGUAGCGGUGAAAUGCGUAGAGAUCGACAAGAACACCGGUGGCGAAGGCGAGUCUCUGGACAGUUCCUGACGCUCAGGCACGAAAGCCAGGGGAGCAAACGGG